AUGAUUUGUAUGUAUCCCUUGUUCUGGGAUCAGGGUGAUAUAGGACCUGUGGGAGAGAUGGGCCUUCCAGGACCUAAUGGACUGAAGGGGGUGCCCGGAAAUCCAGGAGAACCAGGACUGAAAGGUGAUAAGGGUGAAAUUGGAAUUCCUGGAGACCAAGGAGAAAUCGGGUACAAAGGCGACAAGGUAAAUCAAAUCAACGUGUACGUACAUUUUGAAAUGCCCGUGCGUCCUCUAAUCACAUGUUCCCUUCCCUUGCGAGUUCUUGCCUACAUGUUGCCUCCAUCACACCUACAGUAUACAGAGCUAUUCAGCCUACAGUAUGUUACAAAACCAUGUCUUUGCUAAAUGACUGGCCAGAUGUGUGCUGUCCGGCUUAUGGAAAUUCUCAUGUCAACCAUCUUCAGUUGUGUGUGUGUGUGUGUGUGUGUGUGUGUGUGUGUGUGUGUGUGUGUGUGUGUGUGUGUGUGUGUGUGUGUGUGUGUGUGUGUGUGUGUGUGUGUGUGUGUGUGUGUGUGAAGCAAAAUCGAACACUUCUGGGAUCAUAGAAUAGAUUGGUCCCUAGAGAUGACAUAGUCAUGCAUGGCUAAUGUUUGUCUCCCUAGAAAAGAAAUCAGGGUUCUGCUUUUGUGUGUGUGUGAAUCUGAGUGUCUGUCUUAGUGUUUAUGCUUUGUUUUGUACUGGACAGGGGAUCCAAGGAGCUCCAGGGUUAAUGGGUAUCCGUGGGAAACCAGGACCGCAGGGUAAAACUGGAGAGAAGGGCCCUGAUGGUGCACCUGGACCCCCAGGACCUGAGGGUUUCCCUGGCGACAUGGGCCCACCGGGGGAGAACGGCCUUGAAGGACCAAAGGGAAAACCAGGGGUCAGAGGUUUACCAGGGCCAAGAGGGGUGCCUGGCUUGGAGGGAGAUGAGGGCCCGCUUGGCCCAGCAGGCCCAACAGGACUCGAGGGUAGAAUGGGAAGGAAAGGUUUCCCUGGGAAGGUUGGGCCAGAGGGAGUCACGGUGCGUGAAGACAAUACUUACAUUUGA
rnacentral:lncRNA from 1 species